CCUACGGGAGGCAGCAGUGGGGAAUGUUGCGCAAUGAUCGGAAGAGUGACGCAGCGACGCCGCGUGAAUGACGAAGGCCUUCGGGUCGUAAAGUUCUUUCGACAGGGAAGAAAAUGCCUAUAAGUAACUGUGUAUGUAUUGACGGUACCUGUAUAAGCAGCCCCGGCUAACUCCGUGCCAGCAGCCGCGGUAAUACGGAGGGGGCGAGCGUGUUUCGGAUUGACUGGGCGUAAAGAGAACGUAGGCGGUGUUGUAAGUCAUUAGUCAAAGACUAGAGCUUAACUUUAGUAAGGCUAGUGAUACUAUAAUACUAGAGUAUCAGAGAGGAGUGCAGAAUUCCUUGUGUAGCGGUGAAAUGCGUAGAUAUCAGGAGGAAUACCAGUAGCGAAGGCGGCACUCUGGCUGGAAACUGACGCUGAGGUGCGAAAGCGUGGGUAGCAAACAGGAUUAGAUACCCUGGUAGUC
rnacentral:rRNA from 1 species